GAACCAGGCAAUAGCUUGUAGCCUGUUAAUUGUCCAGUUCGAUUUACAGUUCUAGUAUUUCGCACUAUCCAAUGGCGAGCAGAUAAAGGACUACAAUCACGCAUAGCUUGCAUUUCCGACUUGAGCAAUGUCUCUUCAGCGUAAAAAGCAUUGUUGUGGACAUUGUUCUCCCCAGGUCCUUCAACUUUCAAAUCCACUUCAACUACCUGAUUGAAAGCUUCACCCGGCUUGCAAUCAACGGCCAUGUCCAUCCGAG
rnacentral:misc_RNA from 1 species